rnacentral:tRNA from 1 species
AGCGUGAUGGCGCAGCUGGUAGCGCGCUGGGCUCAUACGGUCACGUGACCGUGAAACCCAGAGGUCGUCGGAUCGAAACUGACUCCCGCUA